rnacentral:rRNA from 1 species
GACGAACGCUGGCGGCGUGCUUAACACAUGCAAGUCGAACGGAAAGGCCCUGCUUUUGUGGGGUGCUCGAGUGGCGAACGGGUGAGUAACACGAGAGUAACCUGCCCUUGACUUUGGGAUAACUUCAGGAAACUGGGGCUAAUACCGGAUAGGAGCUCCUGCUGCAUGGUGGGGGUUGGAAAGUUUCGGCGGUUGGGUUUGGACUCGCGGCUUAUCCGCUUGUUUGGGGGGGAGUGGGUUACCAAUGCUUUGACGGCUAGCCGGCCUGAGGGGGUGACCGGCCACCAUGGGAUUGAAAUGCGGCCCACCAUCCGACGGGCGGUAGCCAUGCGGAAUAUUGCACUAAGGGCGGACGCCUGAUGCAGCAACGCCGCGUGCGGGAUGACGGCCUUCGGGUUUUAAACCGAUUUCGCCUAUGAAGAAGCGUGAGUGACGGUAAUUGGCAAAGAAGCCCCGUCUAACUACGUG